UACGUAGGGGGCAAGCGUUGUCCGGAAUCAUUGGGCGUAAAGAGCGUGUAGGCGGCUCGAUAAGUCGGCUGUGAAAGUCCAGGGCUCAACCCUGGGAUGCCGGUCGAUACUGCCGGACUAGAGUUCGGAAGAGGCGAGUGGAAUUCCCGGUGUAGCGGUGAAAUGCGCAGAUAUCGGGAGGAACACCAAUGGCGAAGGCAGCUCUCUGGGACGGUACUGACGCUGAGACGCGAAAGCGUGGGGAGCGAACAGG
rnacentral:rRNA from 1 species